rnacentral:rRNA from 1 species
UACGUAGGGGGCUAGCGUUGUUCGGAUUCAUUGGGCGUAAAGGGUGCGUAGGCGGCGCGGUAAGUCGGGUGUGAAAUUUCGAGGCUUAACUCCGAAACUGCAUUCGAUACUGCCGUGCUUGAGGACUGGAGAGGAGACUGGAAUUUACGGUGUAGCGGUGAAAUGCGUAGAUAUCGUAAGGAAGACCAGUGGCGAAGGCGGGUCUCUGGACAGUUCCUGACGCUGAGGCACGAAGGUCAGGGGAGCAAACGGG